CUAUAACCCUUUGUGAACAUACCUAUAACUGUUGCUUCGGCGGGUAGGGUCUCCGCGACCCUCCCGGCCUCCCGCCUCCGGGCGGGUCGGCGCCCGCCGGAGGAUAACCAAACUCUGAUUUAACGACGUUUCUUCUGAGUGGUACAAGCAAAUAAUCAAAACUUUUAACAACGGAUCUCUUGGUUCUGGCAUCGAUGAAGAACGCAGCGAAAUGCGAUAAGUAAUGUGAAUUGCAGAAUUCAGUGAAUCAUCGAAUCUUUGAACGCACAUUGCGCCCGCCAGCAUUCUGGCGGGCAUGCCUGUUCGAGCGUCAUUUCAACCCUCAAGCUCUGCUUGGUGUUGGGGCCCUACAGCUGAUGUAGGCCCUCAAAGGUAGUGGCGGACCCUCCCGGAGCCUCCUUUGCGUAGUAACUUUACGUCUCGCACUGGGAUCCGGAGGGACUCUUGCCGUAAAACCCCCCAAUUUUCCAAAGGUUGACCUCGGAUCAGGUAGGAAUACCCGCUGAACUUAAGCAUAUCAAUAAGGCCGGAGGAA
rnacentral:rRNA from 1 species